CUAACUUGCGAUAAGCGUAGAUGAGGCAGUAAGAGCCACUUGAGUCUACGAUUUCCGAAUGGGGAAACCCAACUGCAUAAGCAGUUAUCUCAAUGUGAAUUCAUAGCAUUGUGAGGCGAACCGGGGGAACUGAAACAUCUAAGUACCCCGAGGAAGAGAAAUCAACCGAGAUUCCGGCAGUAGCGGCGAGCGAAACCGGAUUAGCCCUUAAGCUAAUCUUGCGUUAGGUGAACAUGCUGGAAAGCAUGGCAAUAAAGGGUGAUAGCCCCGUAACCAACAGCGCUUUAUCAGUGAAAUCGAGUAGGACGGGACACGUGUUAUCCUGUCUGAAUAUGGGGGGGACCAUCCUCCAAGGCUAAAUACUCCUGACUGACCGAUAGUGAACCAGUACCGUGAGGGAAAGGCGAAAAGUACCCCUGUGAGGGGAGUGAAAUAGAACCUGAAACCGUGUACGUACAAGCAGUAGGAGCAGGCUUGUCCUGUGACUGCGUACCUUUUGUAUAAUGGGUCAGCGACUUAAUUUUAGUAGCAAGGUUAACCAUCUAGGGGAGCCGUAGGGAAACCGAGUCUUAACUGGGCGUCAUAGUUGCUAGGAUUAGACCCGAAACCGAGUGAUCUAGCCAUGGGCAGGUUGAAGAUUGAGUAACAUCAAUUGGAGGACCGAACCGACUAAUGUUGAAAAAUUAGCGGAUGACUUGUGGCUAGGGGUGAAAGGCCAAUCAAACUCGGAGAUAGCUGGUUCUCCCCGAAAGCUAUUUAGGUAGCGCCUCGGACGAAUACUACUGGGGGUAGAGCACUGUUAAGGCUAGGGGGUCAUCCCGACUUACCAACCCUUUGCAAACUCCGAAUACCAGUAAGUACUAUCCGGGAGACACACGGCGGGUGCUAACGUCCGUCGUGAAGAGGGAAACAACCCAGACCGCCAGCUAAGGUCCCAAAGUUAUAGCUAAGUGGGAAACGAUGUGGGAAGGCUCAGACAGC
rnacentral:rRNA from 1 species